rnacentral:rRNA from 1 species
CCUGGCGGCCGUAGCGCGGUGGUCCCACCUGACCCCAUGCCGAACUCAGAAGUGAAACGCCGUAGCGCCGAUGGUAGUGUGGGGUCUCCCCAUGCGAGAGUAGGGCACUGCCAGG